GACGAACGCUGGCGGCGCGCUUUAUACAUGCAAGUCGAACGUGAAGCUCGGAGCUUGCUCCGGGUGGAAAGUGGCGAACGGGUGAGUAUCACGUGAGAAACCUGCCCCGAAGACCGGGAUAACACCGGGAAACCGGUGCUAAUACCGGAUGCCCUCACCGGAUCGCAUGGUCUGGUGAGGAAAUGGAUUCCGCUUCGGGAUGGUCUCGCGGCCUAUCAGCUUGUUGGUGGGGGUAANGGCCCACCAAGGCUUCGACGGGUAGCUGGUCUGAGAGGAUGUCCAGCCACACUGGGACUGAGACACGGCCCAGACUCCCACGGGAGGCAGCAGUAGGGAAUCUUGCACAAUGGACGAAAGUCUGAUGCAGCGACGCCGCGUGUGGGAU
rnacentral:rRNA from 1 species